GUGGGAGCCCUCGGCAGGGUGGACCAUACUCCCCAGGAGGCUGGCACUUCCCUGGGUUCAUGAAGACAGAGCCUCCCGCACAGUGGUGCAGCAGCUCCGCUUCCUCCCUCAGCCCUUCCUGAUGGCUUCCUGGGCAUACUGGAUUCCCUUGGGGAGAUGAGGAGGGCAGAGGGAAGGAGGGGCAGGCUGGGUCCUGGGUUAGGGGGCGCUCGGGCUGGGGUCCCUAGAGAGAAGUUCCUGCCUCCAGGGGGUCGAUCAGGCAAGCGUCUUUUCUGUCCACAUACCAGGGGUCCCAGGCAGAGGCAGGUGGGGGAACGGAAAGGAGAGGAGUUGUGUCCUGUCCUCCCCAGUCCUCCAUACUGGGUGGGGGCUGAGGGGUCCUCUCCAGAGCAUGGCCAGGCAGUGACUCUGGUGUGGGGUUGUCGGACGUUGCGGACUGGCCUGGGGGGUGCUGUGUUUCGGGCAGGCCCAGACCUUGACCUUCCUUGCAGGGGUGAGGCCCUGAGAAGCUGAGCUGCUGGUGGUACUCGAAGAGGUCUCCAGGGCAGGGGGAUGGGGAUUAAUCGAGUGGCCUGGGUGGGGUCCGACCCUUCUGCCACUCAGGGUUUGGCAUCUCUUGCUGAUCCCGUGCCCAGGUUCUGCCGGGGUACACACAAUGCUCCGGGCCCACUGCCUGGGCUCCCCGCCUCGUUUCCAGGGGGUUGGGUGGUGCUCCAAGCCUCAGUUUCCCCACUGUGGAGGGGAUGCUGCUGGAGGGAUGAGGAGCAUAGAGCACAGCCUGGCAGCUUCAGUGCCCGCUGCCCCUGCGGACCUGGGCUGUGGGACGGGCAGGCUUCCCCAUCAGGGCUGGGCCUGCCAGGGGCACAGCACCCUCACAUGCCCACACUGGGGGCUCCGUGGCUCUGUGACUCCGUGGCUUGGUGGUGCUGCCUGCACUUCUCAGGGCUGGAAGCUGCCUUUCCCCGCCAGCCUUUGGUUUCUAUCUCAGUCAUCCCUGCCCUGGAGCACAGACCUCCCACUGAGGGAACCCUCCCCACAGAGGGCCAGAGGGCAGACAAUGGCAGCCUUGAGAGCCCCAGGAGAAGCAGAAUGCACUGACAGUGCCGUCCUCAGCGGUAUACGUCCUCGGGGGGAGUACGGCUCUGUGCUUACUCCACGUCAGUCCCCAGGAGCUGCCAGCAGGUACCGGCCUGCCCUGCUGCACAGUGAGCCUGCAGCCUGUCGUGGAUGCCCAGGGAGGGUGUGGUUUGUCCACCGGUGA
rnacentral:lncRNA from 1 species